rnacentral:rRNA from 1 species
UACGGGGGGAGCAAGCGUUGUUCGGAUUUACUGGGCGUAAAGGGCGCGUAGGCGGUCAGCACAAGUCAGUUGUGAAAUCUCCAGGCUUAACUCGGAAAGGUCAACUGAUACUGUGCGACUAGAGUGCAGAAGGGGCAACUGGAAUUCUCGGUGUAGCGGUGAAAUGCGUAGAUAUCGAGAGGAACACCUGCGGCGAAGGCGGGUUGCUGGGCUGACACUGACGCUGAUGCGCGAAAGCGUGGGGAGCAAACAGA